UUGCUACAACUACUAGACGAUGGA
rnacentral:siRNA from 1 species